AUGUCUUUUGUGUCUGUGGUACACAUUCUCCUAAUUGGUAAGUUUGGCGCAAAUACACUGUCGUAUAUUGUUAUCUAUGGCAAGACACAGGAAAUGAGAAUGCUUUUGCUUUCUGUGACAGUGUCGGAUGUAACAGUGGGGCUCGAUGUCAACACUGCUGCCGGUGAAUCAACCCUGCUCCCCUGUACCCUGACGACCACAGCUCCAGUCGACUUAAAGGACCUACGCUUUUACUGGCAAGACGAUAGCAACCGUGUUUUAUUCUCUUACAAUAAAGGAAAGGAGAUGCCAGACCACGUAGAUGAACUUUAUCGAGACAGGAUCACAGCCUUCCCUCAGGAAAUGACAACAGGAAAUAUUUCAGUCAAAAUAAAAAACCCAACCCUUGAAGAUGACCGAAGAGAUUUCCAGGUUGUUGCUGCAGUGUUUGACAGCAGAGGGUCGAGGAGAUACAGCCCAGAACACAGACAACUCUGCAAACACACUUUACAUGUUGCAGUUCCUUACACAAACGUCAGCCUGGCUCUAAAUGAAGAAACGAUGACUGCCGUCUGCACUACACAAGGAUUCCCUGAGCCUUUGGUGAAGUGGAGACUCCAGUACCUCUCCAACAACUCCCAACACGUUCCCGAUCCGAGGGAUGUUCACACUACGACAGUGCAGGACAAUCAAGAUCAUCAAUACAGAUUGCAGAGCACUGUAGAUAUCCCUGAAGGUCGAUAUCGAUCUGUGACCUGCCUCUUCCACAAUCCUACCCUUAAUGUGACUGUGAGCACCACCCACGUUUUAAACAGAGUCGAGGACCAGCAGAGGCAUCAUUACUUGCUUAUUGGGAUAUUUGUAUUUCCGGUCUUCGUCAUCGUCAUCGUUGCAUUGUGUGUGCAUUUCUACAGAACACGUACCGCUCCUCCCCUCCGACUGGUCACGCACACCUGCAGUGGUUUAGCAAGCAGGGCGAUUGCUAUAUAAGCAGCUGUGACGGAAGCAGACGGGGCCGGUGGGCCAAAAACCAUCAGAUAGAGUCAUGUCGCUGUCAGUGUUAAAGCAGAGCUGAGUGGUGCUAGUCUUGUGUGUGUGUUACAAUUUCUCCCUCAGUGGAGGGAUAGUGUUAUUCAUAUUUAUUUGUUGUCACAGUGGUUUGUUUUGUUUAGAUGGUUUUUGCUUUCUUUCUUUUUAGGAAGUUCUUCUGUGUUAACAUUGACUUCAUUUACGUUGAAAUAAAUCGUUUAGAAGUAAAAGAUUUUAUGUUUUCUGCCCUUCUUUAAACGCCUGUGUAAAUGAUUUAUUAUUACUCCUCUUUUCCCCUGGACCCCACAACUGAGGACGUAAUGACUAUCAACUGGUGAAAAAGUAUAAACUGAACUACCACAUAGAAACUUUGUGACCUGAUAUGGAUAAACACAAAUUAGGCUGAAACCAUAGGAGGUAAGAGAAAAUGCAGUGCUUAUGAGAAGUUUACAAUUUACAAUUACAAUAAAGCAGUGUAUGCUUUUUGUGAUUG
rnacentral:lncRNA from 15 species